rnacentral:lncRNA from 1 species
AAAACCCUCUCUGGGUAACUCAAUAUCCUUCUUCAUGGCCAUAAAUUUUGAAGAUUAGUGAGCAUGAACCUCGAGCCAAGAGAUGCCCGCCCUUUUCGUGGUUAAUUUAUCAAAAAUUAUUUAUAUCCUUGGUAAACUUUCACAAUGAGGUCAGUUGAUUUUCAAGAAUACUAUAAAGUAAUAGCUUCGAAAUAUGCUGCCAUAUUCAAAGAAGUGAUGUAAGUAUCAUAUUCAAAGAUAUGAUUUUGACAUCCUACCCCA